rnacentral:rRNA from 1 species
UACGGAGGGGGCUAGCGUUGUUCGGAAUUACUGGGCGUAAAGCGCGCGUAGGCGGACCUGCAAGUCGGGGGUGAAAGCCCGAGGCUCAACCUCGGAACUGCCUUCGAUACUGCGGGUCUCGAGUCCGGGAGAGGUGAGUGGAAUUCCUAGUGUAGAGGUGAAAUUCGUAGAUAUUAGGAAGAACACCAGUGGCGAAGGCGGCUCGCUGGCCCGGUACUGACGCUGAGGCGCGAAAGCGUGGGGAGCAAACAGG